UAAAAAAUAAAAAAAAAUUCAAGAGCUCGAACUAAAGAAUUGGGCACUCAAAGGUCUAUGUCAGCACAGCCGCCUUCGUGGCCGAUAGUUUCAUGCCCUCUUAGACAGCCCAGCCAUCGGGCUCCUCCUCCUCCUCCUCGAAAUUGCUAGGCUAGGUGCUUGUUAGCAAUGGCAGUGAAGCAGAUUUGCAAGCAAUCAAGCAAUGAUGAGUCCGAUUUCGUCAUUGAUGGUGUUGAAGUGGCCAAUAUAACCCUUUGUUUGGAUUUAGAGAAAUGGAGAAAAGAAGCCAAAAGAAAAGAAUUUGAAUUCUAUGUUUUUCCAUGUUUGGACAGCAAACUAAAGCAGAGAAAAGAGGAGAAAGGAGAGAAAAUGGGGGAAAUUUCAUUUACUAACUUCUUUUUAUUCAAUUUGGAGAGAAAUGGAGGGAAAUGGAGAUUAUUGUAUAUCAUUUAUAUUAAAUUGCUUAUAUACCCUUGGUAUCAUAUAAAAAGAAAAUCAUACCUACAUGGCAAUUUAAUAAUUCUAUUAGAAGAGAUAUUUUAUUUCUCAUCUAUUGUAAUAAGGUAUCCAAAAAAAAAAUUCUCUUCUUUUCUUUUCUCUUCAUUUCUGCUCUUUAAUUUCUCCUAAUUUUUUUGCAUAAUUAAGGAUCCAAACAAAGGGUACGUCUCAUCACAACUGGGAAACUGGGAUAAUCUUUGAUUUUAUCUUUUGCGUGUGUGUACUUUGGAAUGAGAUAUUGAGUUGGGGUUCUGAGCUUAAGUGAGCUUAGGCUACAAUUGUGGGGAGGGUGUGCAAAAAGGAAGACAAGCUAGUGAAUUUACCUUCAUUGUUUUGAUGGGACAAGGCAGAUUGGAUGUACAAGAUGGUAUUUAUUGUUGCUUUUUCUCAACAUAUUGUUGUUUUCCAUUUAGCAUUUAUUUAAUGACUAUCUCAUGGUGCUAGGAAUUGUGGUUAUUUUUGUGCCUGUACACGGUUGAAGCACAUGGGACAUGGACGAAGUGGAAGGAAUCAUGGGUGUCUCUUUGAGUGCUUGUAUAAAGCCUUUUUUGUUUUUUCUUAAAAGAAAUACCUGGUGCAAGAAUUCUUGUUGUUGAUUACCUUUUCCUAAAGUAAUCUCAUUUCCUAUAUUGUAUUUCAA